rnacentral:lncRNA from 1 species
ACUCCGCUAGUUUUCCUGGGAGUCACGGUGCUUGGUCGCGUUAUUGGGUCCGGGAAUUCAGAGAAUCAGGGCCAGCUGAUACUUCACCCUCUUAUCCCAACGCCAACCCUUGAUAGAUGCGAACCAGUCGUAUUUCCUUUGUGGGAAAGGAGUCGCUUUUUAAAGACGUGCACUGGCCAUCUAGGGAGGAGCUUUUACUUCAACUCAAAAUAGGACUGGAGCUGACUGGUGACCUGGCGCUCGAUGGACGGAAACGCUGUUCUUGCCGCUUCGGCAGCUCCCAUACUGGUGGGAGAGGCAAACUUGCAGUCUGCUCAUCUUAAGAUGGUGAAUGUUGAGAUAGGGUUGCUCCCGAAAAGCCGAGAAGAGGAGCCGUUUGACCCAACUUGAGGGUGAUCCGAUAGACACUCUUUAGGGCGUCUGCAGAGUGGGUGCGCGUGGAGACAGUCAAUAAGAGAAAAUCGUAAAUACAGAUGGUAUUCUAAAUCUA